rnacentral:rRNA from 1 species
UAGGGAAUCUUCCGCAAUGGGCGAAAGCCUGACGGAGCAACGCCGCGUGAGUGAUGAAGGUCUUCGGAUCGUAAAACUCUGUUAUUAGGGAAGAACAAAUGUGUAAGUAACUAUGCACGUCUUGACGGUACCUAAUCAGAAAGCCACGGUUAACUACGUGCCAGCAGCCGCGGUAAUACGUAGGUGGCAAGCGUUAUCCGGAAUUAUUGGGCGUAAAGCGCGCGUAGGCGGUUUUUUAAGUCUGAUGUGAAAGCCAACGGCGCAACGGUGGAGGGUCAUUGGAAGUGGGAAAACUGUAGUGCAGAAGAGUAAAGUGUAAGUCCAUGGGUAGCGGUUAAAUGCUCAGUGUGAUGGAGAAACACCAGUGGCGAAGGAGACUUUCUGGUCUGUAACUGACUCUGAUGUGCGAAAGCGUGGGGAUCAAACAGG